rnacentral:rRNA from 1 species
UACGUAGGAGGCAAGCGUUGUCCGGAGUUACUGGGCGUAAAGCGCACGCAGGCGGUCCCAUUAGUCUGUAGGGACAGGGCACGGCUCAACCGUGUCAGGCUUACGGAAACUGUGGGACUUGAGGGCUUCAGAGGGAUGGGGAAUUCCGGGUGGAGUGGUGAAAUGCGUAGAGAUCCGGAAGAACACCAAAGGCGAAGGCACCAUCCUGGGGAGUCACUGACGCUCGGGUGCGAAAGCUAGGGGAGCAAACAGG